rnacentral:lncRNA from 1 species
GACCAAGUACGACCAGAUUUGCUGCGACAUGUCCAUUAUGCCCCACAAUAGGUGGACACCAAUGAAAAAAAAAACUCCCGAAGAAGUUUCGCCUUGGCCUAAAGUAUGAGAUAAGAAUGGCACUCGCCAACCACGGUGAGUUUACGUACUUUGAAUUGCUCAACAAAACUCUAGACGCCAAGGUAGUUAUGCUCGGGGAUCACCCGACACAAAUUCAAACUGAACAAAGUGGUCAAGACAUGAAAAACUUUUC